rnacentral:rRNA from 1 species
GCACAAGCAGCGGAGCGUGUGGUUUAAUUCGAUGCAACACGAAGAACCUUACCAGGGUUUGACAUACUAGAAGUAGGGACCCGAAAGGGCGACAAACUGUUAAGUCAGUAGCUAGAACAGGUGCUGCAUGGCUGUCGUCAGCUCGUGCCGUGAGGUGUUCGGUUAAGUCCUGCAACGAGCGCAACCCUCGUCGCUAGUUGUUUUCUCUAGCGAUACUGCCCGUAUAACGUGGAGGAAGGUGGGGAUGACGUCAAGUCAGCAUGGCCCUUACAUCCUGGGCUACACACACGCUACAAUGGGUGAUACAACAGGUUGCAAUAGAGUAAUCUGGAGCCAAUCCCUAAAAUCAUCCUCAGUACGGAUUGCAGGCUGCAACUGCCUGCAUGAAGUUGGAGUUGCUAGUAAACGCAGGUCAGCACACUGCGUUGAAUACGUUCUCGGGCCUU